rnacentral:rRNA from 1 species
UUAAGCGACUAAGCGUACACGGUGGAUGCCCUGGCAGUCAGAGGCGAUGAAGGACGUGCUAAUCUGCGAAAAGCGUCGGUAAGGUGAUAUGAACCGUUACAGCCGGCGAUGUCCGAAUGGGGAAACCCAGUGCAAUUCGUUGCACUAUCGUUAACUGAAUACAUAGGUUAACGAGGCGAACCGGGGGAACUGAAACAUCUAAGUACCCCGAGGAAAAGAAAUCAACCGAGAUUCCCCCAGUAGCGGCGAGCGAACGGGGAGCAGCCCAGAGUCUGAAUCAGCUUGUGUGUUAGUGGAACGGUCUGGAAAGUCCGACGGUACAGGGUGAUAGUCCCGUACACCAAAAUGCACAGGUUGUGAACUCGAAGAGUAGGGCGGGACACGUGGUAUCCUGUCUGAAUAUGGGGGGACCAUCCUCCAAGGCUAAAUACUCCUGACUGACCGAUAGUGAACCAGUACCGUGAGGGAAAGGCGAAAAGAACCCCGGCGAGGGGAGUGAAAAAGAACCUGAAACCGUGUACGUACAAGCAGUGGGAGCACCUUCGGGUGUGACUGCGUACCUUUUGUAUAAUGGGUCAGCGACUUAUAUUCUGUAGCAAGGUUAACCGUAUAGGGGAGCCGCAGGGAAACCGAGUCUUAACUGGGCGUUAAGUUGCAGGGUAUAGACCCGAAACCCGGUGAUCUAGCCAUGGGCAGGUUGAAGGUUGGGUAACACUAACUGGAGGACCGAACCGACUAAUGUUGAAAAAUUAGCGGAUGACUUGUGGCUGGGGGUGAAAGGCCAAUCAAACCGGGAGAUAGCUGGUUCUCCCCGAAAGCUAUUUAGGUAGCGCCUCGUGAACUCAUCUUCGGGGGUAGAGCACUGUUUCGGCUAGGGGGUCAUCCCGACUUACCAACCCGAUGCAAACUACGAAUACCGAAGAAUGUUAUCACGGGAGACACACGGCGGGUGCUAACGUCCGUCGUGAAGAGGGAAACAACCCAGACCGCCAGCUAAGGUCCCAAAGUCAUGGUUAAGUGGGAAACGAUGUGGGAAGGCACAGACAGCCAGGAUGUUGGCUUAGAAGCAGCCAUCAUUUAAAGAAAGCGUAAUAGCUCACUGGUCGAGUCGGCCUGCGCGGAAGAUGUAACGGGGCUAAACCAUGCACCGAAGCUGCGGCAGCGACACUAUGUGUUGUUGGGUAGGGGAGCGUUCUGUAAGCCUGCGAAGGUGUGCUGUGAGGCAUGCUGGAGGUAUCAGAAGUGCGAAUGCUGACAUAAGUAACGAUAAAGCGGGUGAAAAGCCCGCUCGCCGGAAGACCAAGGGUUCCUGUCCAACGUUAAUCGGGGCAGGGUGAGUCGACCCCUAAGGCGAGGCCGAAAGGCGUAGUCGAUGGGAAACAGGUUAAUAUUCCUGUACUUGGUGUUACUGCGAAGGGGGGACGGAGAAGGCUAUGUUAGCCGGGCGACGGUUGUCCCGGUUUAAGCAUGUAGGCUGAUUGUCCAGGCAAAUCCGGAUAAUCAAGGCUGAGGUGUGAUGACGAGGCACUACGGUGCUGAAGUAACAAAUGCCCUGCUUCCAGGAAAAGCCUCUAAGCAUCAGGUAACAUCAAAUCGUACCCCAAACCGACACAGGUGGUCAGGUAGAGAAUACCAAGGCGCUUGAGAGAACUCGGGUGAAGGAACUAGGCAAAAUGGUGCCGUAACUUCGGGAGAAGGCACGCUGGUGUGUAGGUGAAGUCCCUGCGGAUGGAGCUGAGACCAGUCGAAGAUACCAGCUGGCUGCAACUGUUUAUUAAAAACACAGCACUGUGCAAACACGAAAGUGGACGUAUACGGUGUGACGCCUGCCCGGUGCCGGAAGGUUAAUUGAUGGGGUUAUCCGUAAGGAGAAGCUCUUGAUCGAAGCCCCGGUAAACGGCGGCCGUAACUAUAACGGUCCUAAGGUAGCGAAAUUCCUUGUCGGGUAAGUUCCGACCUGCACGAAUGGCGUAAUGAUGGCCAGGCUGUCUCCACCCGAGACUCAGUGAAAUUGAACUCGCUGUGAAGAUGCAGUGUACCCGCGGCAAGACGGAAAGACCCCGUGAACCUUUACUAUAGCUUGACACUGAACAUUGAGCCUUGAUGUGUAGGAUAGGUGGGAGGCUUUGAAGCGUGGACGCCAGUCUGCGUGGAGCCAACCUUGAAAUACCACCCUUUAAUGUUUGAUGUUCUAACGUUGGCCCCUGACCGGGGUUGCGGACAGUGUCUGGUGGGUAGUUUGACUGGGGCGGUCUCCUCCCAAAGCGUAACGGAGGAGCACGAAGGUUAGCUAAUCCUGGUCGGACAUCAGGAGGUUAGUGCAAUGGCAUAAGCUAGCUUGACUGCGAGCGUGACGGCGCGAGCAGGUGCGAAAGCAGGUCAUAGUGAUCCGGUGGUUCUGAAUGGAAGGGCCAUCGCUCAACGGAUAAAAGGUACUCCGGGGAUAACAGGCUGAUACCGCCCAAGAGUUCAUAUCGACGGCGGUGUUUGGCACCUCGAUGUCGGCUCAUCACAUCCUGGGGCUGAAGUAGGUCCCAAGGGUAUGGCUGUUCGCCAUUUAAAGUGGUACGCGAGCUGGGUUUAGAACGUCGUGAGACAGUUCGGUCCCUAUCUGCCGUGGGCGCUGGAGAAUUGAGGGGGGCUGCUCCUAGUACGAGAGGACCGGAGUGGACGCAUCACUGGUGUUCGGGUUGUCAUGCCAAUGGCACUGCCCGGUAGCUAAAUGCGGAAGAGAUAAGUGCUGAAAGCAUCUAAGCACGAAACUUGCCCCGAGAUGAGUUCUCCCUGAGACUAUAAGUCUCCUGAAGGAACGUUGAAGACGACGACGUUGAUAGGCCGGGUGUGUAAGCGCAGCGAUGCGUUGAGCUAACCGGUACUAAUGAACCGUGAGGCUUAACCUU